UACGGAGGGGGCUAGCGUUGUUCGGAAUUACUGGGCGUAAAGCGUACGUAGGCGGCUUUGUAAGUUAGAGGUGAAAGCCCGGGGCUCAACUCCGGAAUUGCCUUUAAGACUGCAUCGCUUGAAUCAUGGAGAGGUGAGUGGAAUUCCGAGUGUAGAGGUGAAAUUCGUAGAUAUUCGGAAGAACACCAGUGGCGAAGGCGACUCGCUGGACAUGUAUUGACGCUGAGGUACGAAAGCGUGGGGAGCAAACAGG
rnacentral:rRNA from 1 species